AACGUAGGAGGCGAGCGUUAUCCGGAUUUACUGGGCGUAAAGCGCACGCAGGCGGCGAGGUGAGUCGGACGUGAAAGCUCCUGGCUUAACUGGGAGAGGUCGUUCGAUACUGUCUGGCUUGAGGUAGGGAGAGGGGUGCGGAAUUCCCGGUGUAGUGGUGGAAUGCGUAGAUAUCGGGAGGAACACCAGUGGCGAAAGCGGCACCCUGGCCCACACCUGACGCUGAGGUGCGAAAGCGUGGGUAGCAAACAGG
rnacentral:misc_RNA from 1 species